rnacentral:rRNA from 1 species
AUUGAACGCUGGCGGCAUGCCUUACACAUGCAAGUCGAACGGCAGCACGGGUGCUUGCACCUGGUGGCGAGUGGCGAACGGGUGAGUAAUAUAUCGGAACGUACCUUAUCGUGGGGGAUAACGCAGCGAAAGCUGUGCUAAUACCGCAUAAGCCCUAAGGGGGAAAGCAGGGGACCGUAAGGCCUUGCGCGAUUAGAGCGGCCGAUACCUGAUUAGCUAGUUGGUGAGGUAAAGGCUCAACAAGGCAACGAUCAGUAGCUGGUCUGAGAGGACGAUCAGCCACACUGGGACUGAGACACGGCCCAGACUCCUACGGGAGGCAGCAGUGGGGAAUUUUGGACAAUGGGGGCAACCCUGAUCCAGCAAUGCCGCGUGAGUGAAGAAGGCCUUCGGGUUGUAAAGCUCUUUUGUCAGGGAAGAAACAGCAGCUCUAAUACAGUAUGCGAAUGACGGUACCUGAAGAAUAAGCACCGGCUAACUACGUGCCAGCCGCCGCAGUAAUAC